rnacentral:rRNA from 1 species
CGGGGGGAGCAAGCGUUGUUCGGAUUUACUGGGCGUAAAGGGCGCGUAGGCGGCCAGCGCAAGUCAGUUGUGAAAUCUCCGGGCUUAACUCGGAAAGGUCAACUGAUACUGCGCGGCUAGAGUGCAGAAGGGGCAACUGGAAUUCUCGGUGUAGCGGUGAAAUGCGUAGAUAUCGAGAGGAACACCUGCGGCGAAGGCGGGUUGCUGGGCUGACACUGACGCUGAUGCGCGAAAGCCAGGGGAGCGAACGGGAUUAGAUACCCCGGUAGUCCUGGCCUUAAACGAUGGAUGCUUGGUGUCUGGAGUUUUAUAGUCUCCGGGUGCCGUAGCUAACGCGUUAAGCAUCCCGCCUGGGGAGUGCGGUCGCAAGACUG